rnacentral:sRNA from 1 species
AAAGUAUUGCCACACGUAGAAUUUGAUAUUAUAAGCAAAAAAGGGGUUUCGAAGAUGAAAGCUAUUAUCUUCAUACUUGUUGCAGCAACAAUCCUAUCCGCCUGCGAUGGUUGUCCUUUAUAUUUAAGGAAAAACUGGUGUCACUGUUUUUGUUCUGAUAUGUAUUCGUCUUGUCGGAAUAGAUGCCCUGGAAACGGCAUGUGGCGUAUCAUGUGUCUAAAUCAAUGUGUAAAACACUACUCGUUCUGCAGUGGAAACUGUCGACGCAGACAGGGCUGAAUGCGGAUUGGUCUGAAUAUUUACAAAGAAAAGAAUCGACAGACCAAAAAAGAUCCAAUGAUGUAAUUUUCAAUAAAUUGUCGCUAAAACGGU